rnacentral:lncRNA from 1 species
GUUAAACGUGGGAUAACGAUACCCCCGUCCCCCAGGGUGGCUUCAGUUUGAAGGGGAGAGCUGUACACCACGCUCUGGUUUUCAUCCUUCAGACUGACUGAUCCCUUGGCACCUUAGGAGAAAGUUUUAGGCUGGGGGGAUGGGUGUAAGUGAGUGGCACUUGUGACUUGUGCUGAUCGUGGCUAGUGUACCUACAAACCAGCCAGGUCUGAACCCCGCUGAUGAGGAGAAGCUCAGUAAGGGCCUUGCUUUACACAGGCAGGCUUGGCCCCAGGUAUCACCAGUCCGAGUAACCCCAGGGUAAGCCCAGUUCCUAACUGCCAUGUUGACCGGCUUGAAGUGGAGUUUAUUAUCUUCUGCCCUUCUUGAUAUCCCAGAGUCACACUCUUCCCUCUGUGCCCUGCCAACAGGUCACCCUGGUUGAACGUUUCUGCAAGCUUGCAAUCGACAUUCACCUUUGUACCUGGUGUGCUGGCUAAUUCUGAAGCCAAUUGAUUGGAUUCAGAGAUGCAUAUGAUGAGGAUCAGGAUGUAGCUCUCAGCUACUGCUCCAGCACCUGCCUGGAUACUGC